rnacentral:rRNA from 1 species
UACGUAGGUGGCAAGCGUUGUCCGGAUUUACUGGGUGUAAAGGGCGUGUAGCCGGGCUGACAAGUCAGAUGUGAAAUCCGGGGGCUCAACCCCCGAACUGCAUUUGAAACUGUUGGUCUUGAGUAUCGGAGAGGCAGGCGGAAUUCCUAGUGUAGCGGUGAAAUGCGUAGAUAUUAGGAGGAACACCAGUGGCGAAGGCGGCCUGCUGGACGACAACUGACGGUGAGGCGCGAAAGCGUGGGGAGCAGACAGG